GCGGAUGUGGCGGAAUUGGCAGACGCGCUAGAUUCAGGUUCUAGUGGGGGCGACUUCGUGCAGGUUCAAGUCCUGUUAUCCGCACCA
rnacentral:tRNA from 1 species